GCCCCGGGGUGGCGCGGCUGGGGGCGGGAGGUGCGAAGGCGGCGGGAGAGGGAGCUGAGGCGAAGCCCCCUCGGUGCCGGCACCGUCGAGGGACAAAGGCGGGUCCCCUGGACCAGGGAAGGAGAACUGAUCGAUGGAGAGACGUGGACGGACGGGAUCAUUCGUGAUGUCCAAGGGCUCUGAGCUACUUCAAGAAUUACCUGGCUUCUUUAGGAGUGUUAUCUUGGUUUCUACCAGGCACCCUGAAGUUCCUCUGAUCUUCCAAAAAUGGGAGGAGAGACACUGAGGCUGUAUUUCAAGUCACCAUAUUCCUAGUGAAGAACUAACAGGUGUGGCUUUUCCUGUGCUUGGAUACUGUGUGGCAGGGUGAAAUGAGUGAUGUGAGGGCA